rnacentral:rRNA from 1 species
GACGAACGCUGGCGGCGUGCCUAAUACAUGCAAGUAGAACGCAGUUGCGAACGGGUGAGUAACGCGUAGGUAACUGCCUGGUAGCGGGGGAUAACUAUUGGAAAAGAUAGCUAAUACCGCAUACUACCAGAUGGACCUGCGUUGUAUUAGCUAGUUGGGUGGGUAACGGGUCACCAAGGCAACGAUACAUCGCCGACCUGAGAGGGUGAACGGCCGCACUGUGACUGAGACACGGCCCAGACUCCUAACGGUGGCAGCAGUAGGGAAUCUUCGACAAUGGACGGAAGUCUGACCGAGCAACGCCGCGUGAGUGAAGAAGGUUUUCGGAUCGUAAAGCUCUGUUGGAAGAGAAGCUGUAGCUUACCAGAAAGGGCCGGCUAACUCCGUGCCAGCCGCCGCGGUAAUUC